AAAUCAAAGAAUCUACGCGAGAAAUGUGAAGGAAGUCGUAUGAGAUAUAGAAUAAGAGCUUAAUUAGUGCAUAGUUGCCUUCUGAAUCAAGGGCAGUCUCUCAUUUUUACUUGCCAAGGGUAUUUAAGUAAUCAUAGCGAUAAAGGACAAAGAUGAGAAAAGGAUAGCUUGGGGAACAAGCUCUCUUCAAAAGAAAGGUGAACAUUUUAAACAAAGAAUCUCUUCAAAGACAAAUAGUUAUAUGACUACUUUAAGUUCUAAUCCCUCCAUCCCUUCUUCUCCUGGUGGAAAGUCGCUUUGGAAAGAUAACAAGAUUUCUAAUUCUGACUCAGAAGGCCAUGGCUAUCCCGGAAAAGCUUUUGCAGUACAAAUAUCAUCGACUUUCACUGAAUCCUAUGAUGACAAAGCAGGCGAGGGACUCUUGGAUUACGUUACAGGGCGGCCAGAACAGCUGGAAGAAUAAUGAAAUCCUAGUAACAAGUGGAGAUUUGGAGUUUUUUACUACUAAGACUUGCUAUAUGGCUAAACUCGGACCCAUUUAGAGUGACUAAUCUCCAAGUACAAAACCAAUGUACAUCUUAUUCUAUUCAACCAUGUACGUGUAAUCUGUAUGUCUGGAUUCUCAGCUUCUUUAUAAUCUGUAGAAGGAACCGAGAAAAUAAUAAUGAACAAUUACUUGGUCAUGACAGCUGGGUUGUCUUGCUACUUCUUCCUUGUACAUGGUAUGGACAGGUUUUGGCAUAUUAUGUAUAAACGAAAAUUAAGGUUGUUUUA